rnacentral:misc_RNA from 1 species
UUUAUUUAUUCCGCCUCUGCCCCCCUUCCUUAUGUCAUUAAAAACAUUAACCCUCUCAUUUAACCUCAAUAUAGUAUUUAUAAUAUAAAUACCUAUGGAUCAAUGUGUGUUUUAACUUAAAUUUUAGAAUCCUCCAUAGAUACUCUAGUCUGUGAUGUCCCCUACAUAAUUUUCUGACUUUUGUAACAUCAUUUUAUUGUGGACUCAUAUAGGCGGUUGGAAGACAUAUUGGAUG